rnacentral:rRNA from 1 species
AGUGAACGCUGGCGGUAGGCCUAACACAUGCAAGUCGAACGGCAGCACAGUAAGAGCUUGCUCUUACGGGUGGCGAGUGGCGGACGGGUGAGGAAUACAUCGGAAUCUACUUUUUCGUGGGGGAUAACGUAGGGAAACUUACGCUAAUACCGCAUACGACCUACGGGUGAAAGCAGGGGAUCUUCGGACCUUGCGCGAUUGAAUGAGCCGAUGUCGGAUUAGCUAGUUGGCGGGGUAAAGGCCCACCAAGGCGACGAUCCGUAGCUGGUCUGAGAGGAUGAUCAGCCACACUUGAACUGAGAAACGGUCCAGACUCCUACGGGAAGCAGCAGUGGGGAAUAUUGGACAAUGGGCGCAAGCCUGAUCCAGCCAUACCGCGUGGGUGAAGAAGGCCUUCGGGUUGUAAAGCCCUUUUGUUGGGAAAGAAAAGCAGCAGGUUAAUACCCCGCUGUUCUGACGGUACCCAAAGAAUAAGCACCGGCUAACUUCGUG